rnacentral:rRNA from 1 species
GACGAACGCUGGCGGCGUGCCUAAUACAUGCAAGUAGAACGCACAGUUUAUACCGUAGCUUGCUACACCAUAAACUGUGAGUUGCGAACGGGUGAGUAACGCGUAGGUAACCUGCCUGGUAGCGGGGGAUAACUAUUGGAAACGAUAGCUAAUACCGCAUAAUAUUGAUUAUUGCAUGAUAAUUGAUUGAAAGAUGCUAUUGCAUCACUACCAGAUGGACCUGCGUUGUAUUAGCUAGUAGGUGAGGUAACGGCUCACCUAGGCGACGAUACAUAGCCGACCUGAGAGGGUGAUCGGCCACACUGGGACUGAGACACGGCCCAGACUCCUACGGGAGGAAGCAGUAGGGAAUCUUCGGCAAUGGACGAAAGUCUGACCGAGCAACGCCGCGUGAGUGAAGAAGGUUUUCGGAUCGUAAAGCUCUGUUGUAAGAGAAGAACGGGUGUGAGAGUGGAAAGUUCACACUGUGACGGUAUCUUACCAGAAAGGGACGGCUAACUACGUG